GUAGCAGGAGUAUAAGAAGUAUAUUUGUUUUCCACACAAAAGGUUCGUGUUUAAGGGCUGUUAUUUA
rnacentral:tRNA from 1 species